AUCCCUUUGUAGUUCAUAAGUGUAAUAACUGGCUGUUCAUGCUCAUGCAUGAGCUCUGCCUCCCUCAAGCCUUGUUAUGACAUCGUCAUAUUACCUGUCUGAUG